rnacentral:rRNA from 1 species
GACGAACGCUGGCGGCGUGCUUAACACAUGCAAGUCGAACGGAAAGGCCCUGCUUUUGUGGGGUGCUCGAGUGGCGAACGGGUGAGUAACACGUGAGUAACCUGCCCUUGACUUUGGGAUAACUUCAGGAAACUGGGGCUAAUACCGGAUAGGAGCUCCUGCUGCAUGGUGGGGGUUGGAAAGUUUCGGCGGUUGGGGAUGGACUCGCGGCUUAUCAGCUUGUUGGUGGGGUAGUGGCUUACCAAGGCUUUGACGGGUAGCCGGCCUGAGAGGGUGACCGGCCACAUUGGGACUGAGAUACGGCCCGGACUCCUACGGGAGGCAGCAGUGGGGAAUAUUGCACAAUGGGCGGAAGCCUGAUGCAGCAACGCCGCGUGCGGGAAGACGGCCUUCGGGUUGUAAACCGCUUUCGCCUGUGACGAAGCGUGAGUGACGGUAAUGGGUAAAGAAGCACCGGCUAACUACGU